rnacentral:tRNA from 1 species
GGGGUUCUAGCUCAUAUGGUAGAGCGUUCGCUUCGCAUGCGAGAGGUACAGGGUUCGAUUCCCUGGUGCUCCA